GACUUCCUAUAAAACAAUCCAAACUUUUUUCACAUAUACAUACAUACAUUUUGAAACACCAAAAACCCUAAUCAAUCAAUCCUCUACUUUUAAAUGAAAUACUCUUAAUUUGUUGUUACCAUCAAACAUAGAGCUUUUAUUCAUCCUCUUAGAUGAUGUGAUGACAAUACCAUAUAUCUAUCCGUAGCCAACAUAGAAUCUUUCACCUUGUAAAUUCUUUUAUGCAUAUGUAGAAUCAUGAUGCACCGCAUUUGGUAUCAACAUGGUUAGGUUGAAUGUAGAUUUUGAAACGACAUGCUUAAUGCGGUUAUUUUUGGUUGAUCUACAUUGACUAUUCCGGACUACUGAGAUUAGUCGGCUCGCAAAACGGGCUGGAUACUUAUUUUAUAUUAAAAAAAAAAACACAAAUUUGAGCCUCUCUUUGGUUAAAUCUUUACAAAGAUGACAGCUCUACUGCGUCCCCCACAUGUAGAUGGCAGCUCUCGCCAGUAUAAUACGGCUAUACAGCGGGGAUCGAACCUGAGACCUUAAGGUUAUCAAGUGUUUGCCUUACCACUAGGCUAAUCCUUGAAAGAGGGACGAUGAUUUACUUAAGCCAAAGGACUUUUCCGCUUUACAUGAUGCUAAGAGUGAAGCUAAGUAGAAAUUUUUUUAAAAUAUACGGGCAUCAUCACGGGCAUUUCUUGGAGUGUCGCCUGAUAAAGGAAGAAUCUUUCUACCAAUUGAAAGAGUGUACUUCAGUUUCUAGUUUUUGUGCAGUGGCCAGAUGAAGUAUAGAGGCAUUAUGAUCCUUCUAAGAGAAGCCAUGCAACGAAGACUAGUAUGGUUUCCAAACCAAUUUCAUUAUAUGCAUGGUUAGAUGAUUACCUCAAUGAAGAACUAUUGGGAGAUAACUGGAAGUGCCCUAAUUGCAUGGAGUAUGGCAGUGCCGAAUAGAAAUUCGAUCUCUGUAGAUUAGUAGAUUUUCUCAUUAUUUAGUUGAAGAGAUUUUUUUAUACAAGUUCUGACUCUAGGAAGUUGGAUACUUUUAUUGACUUCCCUAUCCAUAAUUUGGACCUAUCAAAAUACACCCCGCAUAAGGAUGCCCAACAUCCUCACUGUAAGAGAUAUGUUGUCAACAUGGUGGAGAUGAUAGUGGCCAAUUGCACUUUCUUAAUGUGGGAAAUAGUGAUAUAACUGAUGACAGAAAGGUAUCUCUCAUUAGUGAUGCCUAGGUUAAGACACCUGCAGCGUAUGUUCUAUUCUUCAAGAGAAUUUGAGAUGUUGACUCGACAUGUAUCAAGAUGGUAGAUUUUUUGUUACGGAGUAUCCAACGGUUUGAGGUAGAAAAGGAAAACCUUUAAAGUUUUUUGUUUCUUUCUAGGUUUGUUUACUUUUAAAAAAGAAACAAAAUGGGAAACUAGAAGUAUCACUACUUUUUUAUUAUGUUGGUUACUAGUUAGAAUGGUGAUAAAAAAAAAAUCGUUUCAAGGAAGGCAUAAACAUUUAACCUUGUGGUUAUUAAAAUGCAAAAUAUCUUGUCCUUAUCUUCUCUUUGCUUUGGCUAUUAAUCACGUGAUU